CCCAAAAAGGGUGUGUAGGUAGGGUAGUGUUGACGGUAAGCAGUUGCAGAUUCCUUUUGGCCAGUAAAAAAGUACAGAAGAAAGUCUGAGGCGGACCGACUAAGGAUUAUUUUACUUCAACCUGUUUAUUUUAUUGUAUUAUUCGUACUGAAGUGGAGUAUUUAUAUCCAUAUUAUUUCCACUUACUUUUGCAGAUGUUAGGCCGCUAACGUUCAAAAUGCAGGAUGGCAGAAUCCAACAUUCCAUUCAGAACGACAGGUUCUAAAUUAUUACAUCCAGUCAGUGAGCUACUGGGAGUUCCAUUGGACCAGGUGAAUUUCCUCGCUUGUCAGCUUUGUGCUCUUCUAGCUGCUUUUUGGUUUCGCCUAUACCUCAGUCCAAAUAAAGCCAGCACAACCAUCCGUCAUGCUGUCCCCACUCUCCUUGGAGCGUACUUUGCCAUAUUCUGCUUUGGUUGGUAUUCUUUACAUAUUUUCACAAUGGUGUCCAUUUGCUACUGCAUCAUGCUUAAAGCAAGCAUUGAAAACCUACACAGGUACUCUGUGAUUGCUGCAAUGGGGUACCUUAUACUAUGCCAGCUUAGCAGAGUGUACAUAUUUAACUAUGGACUCCUGUCAACGGAUUUCUCAGGACCACUGAUGAUAAUAACACAGAAGAUUACCACUGUAGCCUUUCAGGUGCAUGACGGUUUAUGUAAGAAAGAUGAAGAACUCACCUCUGAGCAGCAACGCUUAGCUGUAAAAGCAAGGCCUACACUUUUGGAGUACCUGAGUUACAACCUCAAUUUCUUGAGCAUCUUGGCUGGACCUUGCAGUAAUUACAAAGACUACAUUGCCUUCAUUGAAGGCAGGCACAUAGCUAUGAAACUUUUAGAAAGAAACUGGAAGCCCAAUGGCUACAACAGGCUUCCUGAACCUUCUCCUGCGGGAGCUAUCGUUUAUAAACUAUGUAUUACCACUGGGUCAUUAAUUUUGUUCCUGAGUCUUACCAAAGCUUUACCUAUUGUUUACAUUGCUGAUGAUAAGUUUAUUAACGAAGCAUCAUUUUUAGCAAGACUGAGUUAUGCCUACAUUGCAAUGCAAGCCGCAAGACCAAAGUAUUAUUUUGCAUGGACUUUGGCUGAUGCUAUUAACAAUGCUGCUGGCUAUGGAUUCAAUGGCAUUGAUACACAAGGCCAGUUCCGCUGGGACCUCAUUUCAAACCUGAACAUCUGGAAUAUUGAGACAGCAACAAGUUUUAAAAUGUAUAUUGACAAUUGGAAUAUUCAGACAGCAGCAUGGUUGAAACGAGUGUGUUAUGACCGGGCUCCACAUUCCCGUACAGCUUUUACCUUUUUCCUUUCAGCUGUAUGGCACGGGGUGUACCCUGGAUAUUACUUCACAUUCAUCACUGCAGUUCCCAUUACCCUUGCAGCAAGAGCAAUGCGGAACAACUUUAGGCAUCACUUUCUUUCCUCAAGGACAAAGAAGUUUAUUUAUGAUAUAAUCACGUGGGCUGUUACUCAGCUUUCAAUCUGCUACACUGUUGCACCGUUUCUACUGCUGGCAGUGGAGCCAACUUUUAAGUUUUACAAGUCAAUGUUCUUUUGUUUUCAUAUUCUUAGCAUUCUUGUGCUGCUGGUUCUACCGAUAAAACCAAACACUGUUAAAUCACAAGUCCACACCUCCAGCAACAACAAGGAAAAUGGAUACAUCAGAGCAUUAAACUGACAGUAGAAAGAAUGUUGCUGAAGACCUUGUUCAGAAAAACCCAAGGGACAUUUGAAAAAUUGCACUCAACUAAGGCAAGAAGCAUCAGGACUACAUGAAAGAGUAUGGGAAAGCAGGGCCAAGAAUUGGUGAUUUCUUAAUGCCAUCAUCGUCAAUUGUCAAUACCACAUCAACUGUAACUUCCAUGUCAACUACAAGUUCAUCUGUUACAUCUCAACUUGCAACUAAACAGUCAACCUCAUCAGCAAGCACCAUGAUAUCUUUUGUCAGUUUAAAUCCAGCUUUGGCUGCAGAAAUUUACUGGACAGCCAAAGUAAUCACUUAUAGUCACUAUUUAUACAAGUCAUGUGAAGGGAUCAUCAGCAUUUUUCAAUGUGUGUUUAAAUAGCAAUAGCUAAACAGCUCACUUGUGGGGAAAGAAAAACAGCAUACCUUGCAACAUUUGGGAUAGCGCCCCACUUUUCUUGACUAAAAACCAAAGCCAAGCAACAGUCAGGAUAUGUUUUGCUGUUUGAGUUUGAACAGUGAGAUGCAAAGUAGUCAGCUAGAUGUCCACAUCUGAUUCUGGAAUGAGAAUUGUGUCCAGUCAAGUUCCCCUACCAUUCUACAGGCCCAGUGGGUCACAAAAGGCAGCCGCCGGGCCUACAGAAUUGGAAAAAAAAAUCAGAAUGGUGCUUGCGAAGUUUUCAGGUUUGUUUUAGCGGAACAGGGUUUGCAAGGCUCCUGCGCUGCCUCAUCACAUCUCGCCUCGCCUCCCCACCCCCUAUGUAACGUGACGUAUUUGGUGUUCAUGUCAUCUGAAUGACCCUGUGAUUGUACUGAAACAUGAUUGGCUGUGAAAUUACGGCCAAUGCAAGAAGUGGCCAAUUAUCGCAUCGAAAUAUGAUUGGGUGAGAAAUGAUACACAACGCAAGAAGCAGAUUAUCAUUUACAGGCACUCGGGUAAGUUUCAUAACUAUUUUUUUCUCUCACCAACACAGUUACAUUUUAAAACAAUAUAUACAUAGCUAGCACAAGUAGCCUAAAUUAGUUUGAUUCCAGAUCAAGCAAUUACAUUACAAAAUAUCAUUUGUUGCUUAUUAAUAUUAAUGUUUGCAUCAUCUACAGUGUAACUUUAAUGAUGACAUGAAUAUUGUGAGCGAAUUAGUAUAAAAUGUUGGUUGGAUAAUGUUAGCUAGGUAGCUAGCUACCUAAGUUAUUAAUAUUUGGGGAAAUGUUGAAGCUACAUCACAUACACUGAGAUAAAUUAUUCAAUUUUAUCAAAAUAAAUACAUACUGACAUUUAAUUGGAAUUAGGCCCGACAGUCUGAAAGUAAUUAAUGCUCGUCUUGCUUUCAUACCCUUUCCAUUCAGAAUGUCACCGAAAAAGCGGACCGCAGAAGGUCAGUCAAAAAUACUGUCCUUUCCCUCCUUGAAAGGGGAGAAAAGUACAAGGAUUGACGAGGGGGUAGACUCUGAAGUAAGUCACUUGCCUGCAGCAGCGACCGCAAGUGAAAGUGUCUGCUGAAGACAUGCAGUCAACCAGCAGCUGCGAAGCUAGUAGCUCAGAGGAGCAGCGCAGCAGUGGAUCUGUUAGGUCAGAGGAGCAGCACAGCAGUGGAUCUGUUAGGUCAGAGGAGCAGCGCAGCAGUGGAUCUGUUAGGUCAGAGGAGCAGCGCAGCAGUGGAUCUGUUAGGUCAGAGGAGCAGCGCAGCAGUGGAUCUGUUAGGUCAGAGGAGCAGCGCAGCAGUGGAUCUGUUAGGUCAGAGGAGCAGCGCAGCAGUGGAUCUGUUAGGUCAGAGGAGCAGCACAGGUCAGCAUGUGCGUCUGCACUGUAAGGAGCGAGUCUCACAGUAAACAGCGCCUCUCGGGAUGGAAUGAGGAAUGGGUAAAGGACCCCAGGUACAGCCCCUGGCUGUACAACACUGACCAUGGUAUGUUUACAACCUUUAAAAAAUAAAUAGGUUGAUUGAUUUGCAGCAUUCCCUCUAAGCUUUUUAGAUACUGAGAAAUUUGCCGUUUUGACUGAGAAAGGGUAAGUUAUCAGUGAGAAACCUUCGGCCACGCAUUAACCCUUUUAAUAUAUUUUUGUUGCAUUAUACAAGCUUGAAACAAUAUUCCAACACAAGUAUCUCAACAAUUUUACAAUUUACUUUAAAUUUAAACAACCCAUUUAUUGUGGCUCUGCCUCUGAUUUUGAAUCAUCCUCUGGUCCUAUGCAGCCCUGUCAGUUGUUAAUAAUCAUUUUAACAAUGUUACAAAUAGGCCGGCAUUUAUACAUAAAUGUUAAUUUGUCUCUAACAUAUAUUUAUAUGUGUGCACGUAAUAAUUUAUUUUUUAAAGAUAUGUGCAUUAUAAAUAUCAUAUGGGAGAUACUGAAAUUGAAGAAGGGAUCUAUGAAAAAGGCCUAGGAGUUUAUGUUGACUCAGAAAUGUCUUCAUGUGGGGAAGCUAUAAAAAAGGCCAACAAGAUGCUCGGAUAUAUUGUGAGAAGUGUUGAAUUUAAAUCAAGGGAAGUAAUGUUAAAACUUUACAAUGCAUUAGUAAGACCUCAUCUAGAAUAUUUUGUCCAGUUCUGGACACCUCGCUACAAAAAGGAUAUUGCUGUUCUAGAAAGAGUGCAAAGAAGAGCGAAUUAUCCUGGGUUUAAAAGGCAUGUCGUAUGCAGACAGGCUAAAAUAAUUGAAUCUAUUCAGUCUUGAACAAAGAAGACUACGCGGUGAUCUCAGUCAAGCAUUCAAAAUCCUAAAAGGUAUACAGUGUCGACCCAGGGGACUUUUUUUACCUGAAAAAAUAAACAAGGACCAGGGGUCACAAAUGGAGAUUAGAUAAAGGGGCAUUCAGAACAGAAAAUAGGAGUUCAAUCCCAAGUGGGGGACAUUGCUGCUGUACCCUUGAGCAAGGUACUUUACCUAGAUUGUUCCAGUAAAAACCCAACUGUAUAAGGGUAAUUGUAUGUAAAAAUAAUGUGAUAUCUUGUAAUAAUUGUAAGUCGCCCUGGAUAAGGGCUUCUGCUAAGAAAUAAAUAAUAAUAAUAAUAAUAGGUAUAAUACCUUGCUCAAGGGUACAGCAGCAGUGUCCCCUACCUGGGAUUGAACCAACGACCCUCCAGUCAAGCGUCUAACCGCUACUCCACACUGCUGCCCACAUAAUAGCUUCAUAUUAACUGUACCAUGCUUGGACUAAGCCUGACCUCUCUAAAAAUGCCCCUGCACAAGUAGGUUUCAGACACCCUGUUUACCUGCCAAGGCUAGUUUUUUAAUUAAUAUGAAACUCUACUGUAAGCGCUUUUCCAAAUUCACCGCAUGAAGUCAUUUUUUGGCCGGAUUCAAGAGAGCCUUGAACCGGUAUCUUUCAGGAUAAGAAGAAAGCUUACAUCCUGGUUUUUAUAACUAAACUCUCAUUAUUUUUAUUUAUAUAAUGAGGUACAUACUCCUGUCUUUCUUAAAGCACCUUUUGUUAGUUAUCAUUCAAGGUUGACAAAUCCUGCUUUUAAGAGCCAACACCGAAUCCUGGUUUGAGGUGCCAAAGACUAAGCCUUAUCUUUUGAAGGUCUAAUGCCCUUCCUGUGUGUCUGAGACAAACUUUUAAUUCUUUCACUUUUAAACUCUACAGUUUCCUGUAAAUAAAUACUUCUGUUUAUUACUGCAGUGAAACUUAAAUAAAUGUAAAUGUAAGUCGCUACCUUCCUGAUAAGAACUGAUACUGAUACUAAUACUAAUUUAAAUGAAAUGCUUGCUUCAGCUGCCAAGUUUUCAUUAAUUUCUAUAAUAUAAUGAAGAGAACAGACCAUAAUACACUCUUAUUGUGGUACCAAAAGUUAUUUCAUUAGGUAAUUUUGCUCAUUACAGAAAGACCUUGGAUUCAAAACUGCAGAUUACCAGCGAGUCUCACUUUUCAUGCCCAGCACAGCCUUGCUACGAGCAGGUAAAGAAGAGGUCACAACAUUAGAUAUUCUCCUUCAGUAGGUCCACUGUGUACUAAAGUUAUUAAAUACAGUUUACACUUUAUUGUCUUGCUUUUUUUAAACAUAUACUUUAAUAAUUGUACUAUUUCAAUCUUUCUAUAAGAUCUGCUUUUAACUCAAGGACUACUUGUAGAUCAAGUCUUACUACUUAGUCCAACUAAGGUACAUGACUGUGAAUCCAUUAAACUAUAGGCUUGUUAAUAUUGAGAAAUAUAACAGCAUUAUUAAGACUUCUGUUGUUAUUACUAUGUUUAUUACACUAAAACCCCAAACAGGCACAAACACUUAUUAGUUCAAAUGUUCUGCUUCUUUUUACUUCAGACAUAUUAUUUAUCUUCAAAGAGUUGAUUUCAUUCUGUUCCUUAUUAGAUCAGAAUACAUUUUAAAACCUCUGUGCUUAUAGUUGCAAUAAAAUAGGUGCAACAUAGCUUUUUUAGUUUUAAACAUUGUUCUGUCUAGAAAGGGUUACUUUUUCUUUUUGUUAAUUUGCAAUACCUAGCCUCUGUGUUUAGUUCCCCCAGAUGGCUGCUUCUGCCAAGGUUAACACCGGCUUCCACGCACGAUAGUGCUUAUUAAUUUAAAUAUAGGGGAAGACCUAUUUUUAAGUCUGGCAUGUUUUCAAAAAGUUAUAUGCACCUAAUAAUGAAGGCACACAAACAAGCCUUUUUUUUCUAACAUUAACAUUUGUUCAGUUUUCUUAAACCAAAUUGUUAUUCUGCUCAUAAUUUGCUACAAUAGUAUUGCUACUGGUUGUAUAUUCUUUAAAACAUAGUACAGUUAUUAAAAUAUUUUAACAUUGUCAGUUAGUACUGAACUUCUGUCAUUUUUAACUGUAAUAUGUUCUUUCAACAAUAAUUAUUUUAUUAAUUAGAUACUUCAAUAUAACAGUCUCUCUUAUAAAUUGUAAUUGUAUUUUACUCCAUUGAUAUACACAGAAGGCAAGAGGUUAAUUUUUAAUUAGGCACCUGCUAAGCAGCAAAUGCAACCUUGAAUAUUAAAACUUAGGACUUAUAUACUUUGAUAGACUAACGUCCUCAUCCAUUUUCUAAAUUUAUUAUAUUAAGUUUCUUAUUUUAAAAUCUCACAGUCUUCUAUUUAAAUACUUUAGUUUUUUCUCUUACUAUAGUAAAACCACAAACCUAUUUUAGUUAAAUUGUUUCUGGCAUAUUAACUGUGCUCCUUAGAGUUUGCCAUUCUGUUCUCGCUGUAUCGUAAUGUUUGAGGUUCUGAGCUAAAUUAAAAAAAGAUGCUUUUGCCUGAUAAGGGAGGUUUGGAACUUUCAGCAGGUUGGCCUGACCUUACACAUUCACUAAUAAUAUUUUUCUACUUUUAUACUACAAUAAACAGGAAUAUGGAAUCCUACAAUAUUCUCAUAGACUACAUUAUAAAAAUGUUUCUGAAUAGUGUGUUUUAACACUUUGUUUAAUAUUUCUGCUGACUUUAUAUUCUUUAAAAUACAUUACAGUUAUUACAAUAUUUGUUGCAGUGUCACAAAUGUUCAAUUUGUUUCCCAAAGAUCAGCCUGCUUCCAGUAGCUGUGACAGUCUUGGGUCAGUUUCUGCUCUCAGCGAGUCUGUCAAAACCACCACAGGUGUGGGUGACAGUCUUUAAAAGCCUGAUACCUGCAAAAAACUUAAAUCUUGUUAGCUGGGCUCCCGUCUCUACAAUCUCAAUCAUCAGUGGGAAGACUUCAAAUAAAUUAAGCUGUUUCACUCAAAAAAGGUGCUCGCACCUUGUACAAAGGAAGACGGGUUUUAGGGUCACUCAUGACAAAACAAAUAAAAUACAAUACUUUAAUUUGUAAUUUUAUUUGGUCAGUUCUGAAAGGGCGUGUGACAAAGUGGUUUGCAGUGUAGAGGUGCAGGAUUAAUGCGGUGUGUAAGUAGCAGACAGAGAUUUGUAAUCCAGUUGGAAAAGUAUUUUAUUUUCUUAACAAUCCAGGUCUGGUGACCAAAUAAUGAUCCCCGGCAAUACACAGCAAUGUGUAGUGCACGGAGUAAAUAACAACGGGGUUGCAGUAAACACAAAUAAUAAACACAAAUAUCCUUCCCACAAUGUACAAACACGGUCACCAGUGUGCCCCCUUUCUAGCUGGCCGACUUCCUUUGAACCCUGGGAAAGAACUGUCGGGCCAGCCCGUCCAAGGUACUCUGUUCUCACUACUUGGCGCCCUCACAGGUCGGGAGGGAGAUUUACCACCAAGAAUCACUGUAUUUCUGUCACAGGGCAUCAACAACUUGUUGGUAUACAGUGCCUAUAGACUAUAGUCUACACUCCCUUUCAAAAUGUUCAACUUUUGUUGCUUUAUAGCCUGGAAUUAAAAUGCAUUAAAAGUUUUUUUUUCCAUUUAUCUACACAUCCUACCCCACAACUUCCAAGUGAAAAAAAUAUUCUAGAAAUUUGUAGAAAAUUAAUUAAAAAUAAAAACUGAAAUAGCUUGGUUGGAUAAGUGUCCACCCCCCUUGUAAUAGCUAAAUUAGCUCAGGUGUAACCAAUUGCCUUCAGAGUCACACACCAAGUCAAAUUGUGAUAAAUUGUAGUGAUUCACAUGAUUUCAGGAUUUCAGGAUAAAUUCAGCAGUUCCUGUAGGUUCCCUCUGCUGGGUAGUACAUUUCAAAGCAAAGACUCAACCAUGAGCACCAAGGCGCUUUCAAAAGAACUCCGGGACAAAGUUGUUGAAAGGCACAGAUCAGGGGAUGGGUAU